GGGUCGUUAGCUCAGUUGGUAGAGCAGCGGACUUUUAAUCCGUUGGUCACAGGUUCAAGUCCUGUACGGCCUA
rnacentral:tRNA from 1 species